rnacentral:lncRNA from 1 species
CGCAGGGCCAGCCUGACAGGCAGGUGCCGGGAGGAGGCAUGUCCGAGGGGGUGACACGGGAGGGACCACAGCUCCUGCGGCUCAGCCCCGGCCAGCUCUGUCACUCUGGGUCUCUGUCACCUCAGGCCAAUAAUGGUUUCUGAGCUCUGUCCUGUCUAGAUCAGGGUUUGAGGGAGGAUGGGAGCCCCGAGGCCUCAGUCCAGGCACAGGAACACAAAGGCUGCAGCGGGGAGGUGCAUAGCCAGGGUCACUGCGAGGCUGGGCUGUGACACAGAGGCCUGACACACAGGCUCCGGUCUGGACGGGGAAAGGAGUGACUCAGAGGCAUAGGGUCUGAGGGGGAGGCCGGGCCCGGGCCCUCUCCUGGGGUCCCACAGGAGGCUCCACAGGCUGAGCCCACGCACACAGCUCGCCUGCCUGGAGUAGCAGUGGGGGAGCUGAGAGCACUGGGGCGCUCCCCCGCCCAGCUGCCUGUGCCCCAGGAAGCCGUGUCUCUCCUAGACCACGCCUGCCCCUCCUGCUCAGCCCGCCCCUGUCCUUGGUCCCCUCAAGCCCCUGGGUGCCUCCUGCAGCUUCCUCUCCUCCCUGGGUCACCAGGUACCACAUGCAGCUCUCCACAGGACUUGUUUAGGACUCCCCGCACGUCCUCCCUCCUCCAUCACCUCUGGCCGGGUGACCACACAGAGAAAGGGGGCAUUCACCAGCAGCGGGAGCCAUGGCCCGUGAGGAGAGUCUUACCCAAGAAGUGGACGGAAUGGAGGUGGCAUGCAUGGCCAUUAUUCAUGAUGACACAUGCAGUAAUGGAGGCAGCACGGGACGUUGUGUAUCCCAGGGAAACACUGCAGCCUGGCUGAUGUGUGUGUAUGGGGCAGGCAAAGGAGCGGUCUCUGGUUAAACGAUAACUGGAUGGGGUUUUGUAGGAUGCAUAGAAGUUCUCUAAUGAAGACGAGGCCAGGAAUAACAUUCUGAGCAUUGAGAGUGGGAUAUGCGGUCCUGAGGUCUUGUCAUUGGCAAUACUUAAGCUCCUCCUGCGUGCCAGGCCUGCCGUAAGUGCUGGGGACGGAGGAGGCAGGUGAGGUCCUACUCCACGAUACUGUCAUAGGUGGGUGGAGGCACGUGUCAAUAGGGCUCCAGGUGUGGUGAGCACCCUGGAGGAAAGAUGCAGGAGAAGAGGGGGUGUGGGGAGUGGCUGCUGAUUGGACCUGGAUUUGGAGGCUGAGGCAGGAAUGUGGCUGGAUUUCAGGCUGGGAUUCCUGGGGCAGCAGGAGAGCCCUCACGGUGUGGCCCGCCUGGGCGGCCCAGCGGCAACAGUGACGAGUGACCUAGAGACAGCCACAGGGGCCGCCCAACCAAGCCUCAGGUCCCGAGCUGCCGGCAGCUUGGGGCGCCCCUGCUGCAGCGGG